AUUGAACGCUGGCGGCAUGCUUUACACAUGCAAGUCGAACGGUAGAGGGGGCAACCCCUUGAGAGUGGCGAACGGGUGAGUAAUGCAUCGGAACGUGCCCAGUCGUGGGGGAUAACGCAGCGAAAGCUGUGCUAAUACCGCAUACGAUCUCUGGAUGAAAGCGGGGGACCGAAAGGCCUCGCGCGAUUGGAGCGGCCGAUGUCCGAUUAGGUAGUUGGUGGGGGAAAGGCUCACCAAGCCAACGAUCUGUAGCUGGUCUGAGAGGACGACCAGCCACACUGGGACUGAGACACGGCCCAGACUCCUACGGGAGGCAGCAGUGGGGAAUUUUGGACAAUGGGCGCAAGCCUGAUCCAGCAAUGCCGCGUGCAGGAAGAAGGCCUUCGGGUUGUAAACUGCUUUUGUACGGAACGAAAAGGUCUGGGUUAAUACCCUGGGCACAUGACGGUACCGUAAGAAUAAGCACCGGCUAACUACGUGCCAGCCGCCGCAGUAA
rnacentral:rRNA from 1 species